UACGGAGGGUGCAAGCGUUAAUCGGAAUUACUGGGCGUAAAGCGUGCGUAGGCGGCCUUGUGUGUCGGAUGUGAAAGCCCCGGGCUCAACCUGGGAAUGGCAUUCGAAACUACAGGGCUAGAGUGUGGUAGAGGAAAGUAGAAUUCCACGUGUAGCGGUGAAAUGCGUAGAUAUGUGGAGGAAUACCGAUGGCGAAGGCAGCUUUCUGGGCCAACACUGACGCUGAGGUACGAAAGCGUGGGUAGCCAACAGG
rnacentral:misc_RNA from 1 species